rnacentral:rRNA from 1 species
UACGUGAGGGUGCGAGCGAUUGAAUUCGAAUACUGGGCGUAAAGCGUGCGUAGACGGUUAUUUAAGUCGGGUGUGAAAGCCCCGGGCUCAACCUGGGAAUUGCAUUCGAGACUGAAUAGCUAGGGUACGGUAGAGGGAAGUGGAAUUUCCGGUGUAGCGGUGAAAUGCGUAGAUAUCGGAAGGAACAUCAGUGGCGAAAGCGACUUCCUGGACCAGUACCGACGUUCAGGCACGAAAGCGUGGGGAGCAAACAGG